CAUUAUUGACCAGAGAGAGGGAGGAGGACAUUAUUGACCAGAGAGAGGGAGGAGGACAUUAUUGACCAGAGAGAGGGAGGAGGAGAAAGAUACUAUUACAACUAAUUGAGGACAUGAGUGGGGAAGAAAUAGACAUUAUGGAAAUGACAGAGAGAGAAAGUAAAGGAGGAAUAAAAAGAGAGGGUUUAGAUGAAGAAAAAAGUAAGAGAUAAAACUAGAAAGAGAGAGAACAAGUGGUUUAUGACAGCAGAAUGCGUGAUGAUGAGGAGAUCCGAAAGAUAGGAGGAAUGAAAAUGGAGGAAGAGGAAGCGAGGAGAAAGGAAGGGGAGAGAUCUGGCACUAUCAGCAGGUAUAAAAAAAAUGACAGCGGUAGUUUGUGACAAAUACCAGUGUCAAACACAUGCUCAGAAACCAUGACUGGUUUAAUGACACAUGGGAGAGAGAGAGAGAGAGAGAGAGAGAGAGAGAGAGAGAGAGAGAGAGAGAGAGAGAGAAAGCAAUGGAGCAUUACAGAGAUAUUGAAUGGGUUGAACAGAUGGAGAUAAUAAAGAGAGAGAUGCUGAAAAACAAAGCAAGUACAUUAGAUUGACAGAGAGUGAGAGAAUAAGACUGCCAGUCACAGGUCAAACAGAGGUUUAUCCUCUCUUUCAACCCUGCAUCCCUCCAUCUUCCAGAUCUCUGGCUGUGCCAAGCCAACAAGGUCAUCGAUUAUUGGACAACUCCCUGUCUGAAAACGUCCACUUCCUUCUAGAGCUGCCUUCAACACUCCAGUCUAGUCAGACAACAUUCUAAUAACAUUCUGAGAACAUUCCAACAACAUUCUAAACAUUCCGAAAACAUUCUAAUAACAUUCUAAACAUUCCGAAAACAUUCUAAUAAAAUUCUGAGAAUAUUACCAAGGAUAGCUGGUGAAGGAAUCGGCAAAAGCAUCAAAACAUCUCAACUUUGGGAGAACCGUCAAAUAAAAUAAACUGUUAUUAGUUUGGGUACACAUAUUUGCAGAUGUUAUCAUAGGUGCGGUGAAAUGUUUGUGUCUCUAGCUCCAACAUUGCAAUUAUACCUAGCAAUAAAAUAUAAUAAAAUAUACUGUACACACAAUCCAGAAAAAUAAAGAAAAUGAGAAAUAUCAGAACAUACAAUGACAAAUCAAAUCAGAUUUCAAAUCAAAUCAAAUGUAUUUAUAUAGCCCUUCUUACAUCAGCUGAUAUCUCAAAGUGCUGUACAGAAACCCAGCCUAAAACCCCAAACAGCGAGCAAUGCAGGUGUGGAAGCACUGUGGCUAGGAAAAACUCCCUAGAAAGGCCAAAACCUAGGAAGAAACCUAGAGAGGAACCAGGCUAUGAGGGGUGGCCAGUCCUCUUCUGGCUGUGCCGGGUGUCGAUUAUAACAGAACAUGGCCAAGAUGUUCAAUGUUCAUAAAUGACCAGCAUGGUCAAAUAAUAAUAAUCACAGUGGUUGUCGAGGGUGCAACAAGUCAGCACCUCAAGAGUAAAUGUC
rnacentral:lncRNA from 1 species